rnacentral:rRNA from 1 species
AUUGAACGCUGGCGGAAUGCUUUACACAUGCAAGUCGAACGGCAGCACGGGGGCAGCCCUGGUGGCGAGUGGCGAACGGGUGAGUAAUACAUCGGAACGUGCCCGGUCGUGGGGGAUAACGUAGCGAAAGUUACGCUAAUACCGCAUACGAUCUGAGGAUGAAAGCGGGGGACCUUCGGGCCUCGCGCGAUCGGAGCGGCCGAUGUCAGAUUAGGUAGUUGGUGGGGUAAAGGCCUACCAAGCCGACGAUCUGUAGCUGGUCUGAGAGGACGACCAGCCACACUGGGACUGAGACACGGCCCAGACCCCUACGGGAGGCAGCAGUGGGGAAUUUUGGACAAUGGGCGCAAGCCUGAUCCAGCCAUUCCGCGUGCAGGACGAAGGCCUUCGGGUUGUAAACUGCUUUUGUACGGAACGAAAAGGCUCUGGCUAAUACCUGGGGCUCAUGACGGUACCGUAAGAAUAAGCACCGGCUAACUACGUG